rnacentral:lncRNA from 1 species
GAAGACAGAGCGAUGGUAGUUCUGGAGGCCUCGCUCCGGGGCCGACCCGAGGCCACAGUGCCUCCGCGGUAGACCGGACUUGGGUGACGGGCUCCGGGCUCCCGAGGGAUGGAAGGGUCUAAGACGUCCAACAACAGCACCAUGCAGGUGAGCUUCGUGUGCCAGCGCUGCAGCCAGCCCCUGAAACUGGACACGAGUUUCAAGAUCCUGGACCGUGUCACCAUCCAGGAACUCACAGCUCCAUUACUUACCACAGCCCAGGCGAAACCAGGAGAGACCCAGGAGGAAGAGACUAACUCAGGAGAGGUAAUAGAAGUGCCCUCUCCCCUAUCCUCCUCAUGUAGUAAACAUUCCAAAUGAGAGAUAUGAUAUGAAAACAGGAAUGCAGGCUUGGUUUCUGCAGGCUACUUGGCGCUUCUAGAGCUCCCGGACUUUUGGGAUCUCUGGGUAAUGAGACAUUCUACAUGAUCAGGCUGCUAUGCACCAUUGGAGGUACAGAUCUGCACCUGAGGUCACAGGGUUACUGAAUUAGUCAUUUUAAAAUGUUGGAAAGGGCU